UAUGCAAAUGUCCUUCCCUGUUAUAUAUUUAAGCAACACAGACCAAGAGCUUUUACUGAUUCUGCUUCAACACACACCAUGAUCUCUACAUCACUACUGCUGCUGCUGCUGGCAGCCGUACACUGUGGUCACUGUGUUGAGCUGAUCCAGACCAGAUCCACAGUAUUAACCCCUGGUCAGUCACUGACUCUGACCUGUAAAGUGUCUGGAUAUUCAGUAACUGAUAGCAGCUACUGUACAGACUGGAUACGACAACCUGCAGGAAAAACUCUGGAGUGGAUUGGAGAGAUAUGUGGUGAUGGUAGCACUUACUACAGUGAGAAACUGAAAAGCAGGUUUCAGGUUACCAGAGACACGUCCAGCAGCACAGUAACAUUAACAGGACAGAACAUGCAGACUGAAGACACAGCUGUGUAUUACUGCGCUCGUGAACCACACAGUGAUACACAUCAACAACAAAGCUCCAGCAGCCAGCAGAGGGCGACAGCAGCAUACAGUGAGAGUGUCGAUUACCCAGAAUCCUUCAGGCUCAUUAUCCUGGAUUGGCUGCACCUGCCGUUUAGGAUACUUAAGACCUGUUUAAGACUCUUCUCUUCUUUUGCACCUCAGGGUUCUGCCUGA